rnacentral:miRNA from 1 species
GAGGACAGCUGGAUUCUGGGAGAUGGAGGUUGCAGUGAGCUGUGAUCACACCACUGCACUCUAGUCUGGGCAAUAGCGUGAGACCCUAUCUC